UACGUAGGGGGCGAGCGUUAUCCGGAAUUAUUGGGCGUAAAGAGUAUGUAGGUGGUCUCUUAAGCGCAGGGUAUAAGGCAAUGGCUCAACCAUUGUUCGCCCUGCGAACUGAGUGACUUGAGUGCAGGAGAGGAAAGCGGAAUUCCUAGUGUAGCGGUGAAAUGCGUAGAUAUUAGGAGGAACACCAGCGGCGAAGGCGGCUUUCUGGACUGUAACUGACACUGAGAUACGAAAGCGUGGGGAGCAAACAGG
rnacentral:rRNA from 1 species